AUUGAACGCUGGCGGCAGGCCUAACACAUGCGAGUCGAACGGUAACAGGAAGCAGCUUGCUGCUUUGCUGACGAGUGGCGGACGGGUGAGUAAUGUCUGGGAAACUGCCCGAUGGAGGGGGAUAACUACUGGAAACGGUAGCUAAUACCGCAUAACGUCGCAAGACCAAAGAGGGGGACCUUAGGGCCUCUUGCCAUCGGAUGUGCCCAGAUGGGAUUAGCUAGUAGGUGGGGUAACGGCUCACCUAGGCGACGAUCCCUAGCUGGUCUGAGAGGAUGACCAGCCACACUGGAACUGAGACACGGUCCAGACUCCUACGGGAGGCAGCAGUGGGGAAUAUUGCACAAAGGGCGCAAGCCUGAUGCAGCCAUGCCGCGUGUAUGAAGAAGGCCUUCGGGUUGUAAAGUACUUUCAGCGGGGAGGAAGGGAGUAAAGUUAAUACCUUUGCUCAUUGACGUUACCCGCAGAAGAAGCACCGGCUAACUCCGUG
rnacentral:rRNA from 1 species